rnacentral:rRNA from 1 species
AAACUUUCAACAAUGGAUCUCUUGGUUCUGGCAUCGAUGAAGAACGCAGCGAAAUGCGAUAAGUAAUGUGAAUUGCAGAAUUCAGUGAAUCAUCGAAUCUUUGAACGCACAUUGCGCCCCCUGGUAUUCCGGGGGGCAUGCCUGUCCGAGCGUCAUU